rnacentral:rRNA from 1 species
UACGUAGGGUGCGAGCGUUAAUCGGAAUUACUGGGCGUAAAGCGUGCGCAGGCGGUUAUGUAAGACAGAGGUGAAAUCCCCGGGCUCAACCUGGGAACUGCCUUUGUGACUGCAUAGCUAGAGUACGGCAGAGGGGGAUGGAAUUCCGCGUGUAGCAGUGAAAUGCGUAGAUAUGCGGAGGAACACCGAUGGCGAAGGCAAUCCCCUGGGCCUGUACUGACGCUCAUGCACGAAAGCGUGGGGAGCAAACAGG